rnacentral:rRNA from 1 species
AUUGAACGCUGGCGGCAUGCUUUACACAUGCAAGUCGAACGGUAACAGGCCUUCGGGUGCUGACGAGUGGCGAACGGGUGAGUAAUGCAUCGGAACGUACCCAGAGGUGGGGGAUAACGCAGCGAAAGCUGUGCUAAUACCGCAUGUGAUCUGAGGAUGAAAGCGGGGGACCGAGCAGCAAUGUUUGGCCUCGCGCCUUUGGAGCGGCCGAUGUUGGAUUAGCUAGUUGGUGGGGUAAAGGCCUACCAAGGCGACGAUCCGUAGCUGGUCUGAGAGGACGACCAGCCACACUGGGACUGAGACACGGCCCAGACUCCUACGGGAGGCAGCAAUGGGGAAUUUUGGACAAUGGGCGCAAGCCUGAUCCAGCAAUGCCGCGUGCGGGAAGAAGGCCUUCGGGUUGUAAACCGCUUUUGGCAGGAACGAAACGGUGUCCGCUAAUACCGGGCGCUAAUGACGGUACCUGCAGAAUAAGCACCGGCUAACUACGUG